AAAGUCGUAACAAGGUUUCCGUAGGUGAACCUGCGGAAGGAUCAUUACCGAAUUACCUGCACCACGCUGCGUGCGUGGGUGCUCAAAUGCGCCUCUUGAUCUUGAUCUUGGUGCCCAUCGCUCCCCACCGCAAGUGGGUGAGAUGGGGGGGCGCCCUUUUCAAGAUGUCCUAUGCUACACACACAAACUUGUCAUUGUACGGCGUUGAACAUAAUAACAUAACUUUCAACAACGGAUCUCUUGGCUCUC
rnacentral:misc_RNA from 1 species